GACGAACCGUGCGAACGUUGUUCGGAUUCACUGGGCUUAAAGGGCGCGUAGGCGGGCGGUCAAGUCGGGGGUGAAAUCUUUCCGCUUAACGGGAAGCGUGCCUCCGAUACUGAUCGCCUCGAGGGAGGUAGGGGCAUGUGGAACUUCCGGUGGAGCGGUGAAAUGCGUAGAUAUCGGAAGGAACACCGAUGGCGAAAGCAGCGUGCUGGACCUUUUCUGACGCUGAGGCGCGAAAGCCAGGGGAGCAAACGGG
rnacentral:rRNA from 1 species